rnacentral:rRNA from 1 species
UGGGGAAUUUUGCGCAAUGGGGGAAACCCUGACGCAGCAACGCCGCGUGGGUGAUGAAGGCCUUCGGGUCGUAAAGCUCUGUCUGGAGGGAAGAAAUGAUUGGGAGCUAAUACCUCUUGAUCUUGACGGUACCUCUGAAGGAAGCACCGGCUAACUCCGUGCCAGCAGCCGCGGUAAUACGGAGGGUGCAAGCGUUGUUCGGAAUUAUUGGGCGUAAAGCGCGUGUAGGCGGUCUUUUAAGUCUGAUGUGAAAGCCCCGGGCUCAACCUGGGAAGUGCAUUGGAAACUGGGAGGCUUGAGUACGGGAGAGGAGAGUGGAAUUCCUAGUGUAGGAGUGAAAUCCGUAGAUAUUAGGAGGAACACCGGUGGCGAAGGCGGCUCUCUGGACCGAUACUGACGCUGAGACGCGAAAGCGUGGGUAGCAAACAGGAUUAGAUACCCUGGUAGUCCACGCCGUAAACGAUGAGUACUAGGUGUUGCGGGUAUUGACCCCUGCAGUGCCGUAGCUAACGCAUUAAGUACUCCGC